rnacentral:piRNA from 1 species
UGGAUGUUCUUAAAAAAGAUC